UCCGCCAGAGUACUACGAGCUACAGCUUAAAACUCAAAGGACUUGGCGGUGCUUUACACCCCCCUAGAGGAGCCUGUUCUAUAAUCGAUAAUCCCCGAUAAACCUCACCACCUAUUGCCAAUACAGCCUAUAUACCACCGUCCAGCCCGCCCUUUAAAGGGUAAACAGCAGGCAUAAUUAUAAACAUAAAAACGUCAGGUCAAGGUGUAGCAGAUAAGGUGGAAAGAAAUGGGCUACAUUUUCUAACUUAGAAAACACGGAUGAUUCUAUGAAAUAGUUUCUGAAGGAGGAUUUAGCAGUAAAAAGAAAUAAGAGUGUUCUUUUUAAAACGGCAAUAAAGCGCGCACACACCGCCCGUCACCCUCUUCAAAUAAUUUAAAAAAAUCUUAAAUAAAUAAAGUCAGUAAGUAAGAAGAGGCAAGUCGUAACAUGGUAAGUCUACCGGAAGGUGGACUUGGAAUAU
rnacentral:rRNA from 1 species